UGGCCAUCCCAUAAUAUUCAGCAGCGUAAGGAGGCGCCUUAGUGGAGGUGUCAGAGGCUGAAUCAGCAGCAAGACAAGAUGGCCGCCACAUAAACACAAGUUGAAUCAUCAGCCCUCAGAUCUCGCGCCAGCUUGUCUCCGUGCUCGGGCAUCAGAGCUCGCUGUUUGUUCUUGGCCAGCUUCUCCAGGGUGUUGUGGUCGUCCCUCAGGUCCAUUUGAGUACCCACCAGUAGGUACGGCGUGGACUGGCAAUGGUGGGUAAUCUCCGGCACCCACUGCGAGGCAAGGCGGUCAAAGAGGAAGACGGCGACACGACGGAGAAGCAGACAAGGAAGAUGUCUGUCUGGGGGUAGCUGAGGGGUCGCAGCCUGUCGUAGUCCUCCUGGCCUGCAAGGGGGGAUGUAGCCAUCACAACUUGGAGUAGCAAGACACUAAAGGUGUACUCCCCCAAAACCAUGCUGGACUUGAGUGCGAGUCCCCCUCCCUCUUGUCCUGUCCCAUCACUUCAGUUCUGCUGUAUUACAACAAUUUCCAUGACUUUGUGGAUUGUUUCCAGUCUUAUUUGGAGUUGUUUUAUUUCUACAGUGCAAAGCGGCUGCAGUCAUUACUUGUGAGAAGAGCAAUCACAUUAACUAAAUGACAAGUCUUCAUUAUGCGCAUGUUCUGACAUUUUGAUUAUUUUAAGUCUUUGUAUUUAAUUUGCAUUAUGAACAGUGUUGCCAACUCCUCAACGAGGAAAGUAGCCAUUGGCUGUCCUAAAAGUCGCUUGAUGAUGUCAUUACCUAAUUUCCAUCAUUUAUGGCAAUGGAUGCUGUAGGAGAGAUACAAAAGUAAAUUUUAAAAAAAUCAUUAUGAAUAAACUGCAGAUUACUUUUCUUCUUUUGAUUCUUAGUUGUUUUUUGUAUCAAUUUUGUUCUGCAUUGAUAAAUGUUUAAAGGAUCAAAUUUGAUUAAAAGAAUAAAAGGUUUGUGAUAUUUACUAACAAA